rnacentral:lncRNA from 12 species
GGGGAAUUGGGGCAGGGACAGGGGUGGGAGAAGGAAGGACAGGGGUGGGAGAAGGGACAGGGGUGGGAGAAGGGACAGGGAUGGCAGCAGGACAGGGGUGGGAGCAGAGCAGGGACAGAGGUGGAAGCAGCAGGACAGAGAUGGGAGCAGAGGGACAGAAGUGGGAGCAGAUCAGCACAUCCCAGGGCCCGUUAUUUAUCUCCCCGUGCGGGGGGAGCCGCUUCGUGCCUGGGCCCCGGUGGGGGGGGAGCCGCUUCGUGCCUGGGAAAGGCGAGCCAGGCACGCAGCCGGUGCCGCCACCCACGCAGCGCCACUGGAGCUGCUGGCGUGUGUCACAGCAGCUCCUCGUCAUCCUCCUCCCCCUCCUCCCCCUCCUCCUCCUCCCUGCCCGUCACUCCUGCAGCCACCUCGCCGCUCAGGGACACAUCCCCCCCCUUCCCAAAACUGUCCGUGCUGCGUUUCCAGCGUGGGCUGAGCUGCCCCGGCUCUCCCUGGUGCCCGGCUCACCCCGGGAGCUCGGUGUGUUUAUUCCUGUGUUUGCACACAUCCCCUCCCCUUCCUUCCUCCUCUCCCGGGCUGUUUUUUUUUUUUUUUCCCCUCCUGCCCCGCAUUUCUCUCGCUGUCAGCCUCCCCUCCUGCCUGGUGAGAACAAACAUUGCCCAGCCGCUAAUUCCGAUCUGCUCCAGCCAAAACACCGGCAGCCGCGGAAGAAUGAUGGGCUGUUCCUGCGGGCUCUGACAGCCAGCAGCACAAACCCCUCCCGAGGAUGGAGCGACCCCAAAAUGCCCUUUGGGAGCAGCAGCUCCUCCCGGAUAACCGGGAUAACCUCCUGCCCCCAAGGAAACUCUGGCUGCGCAGGCAGGGCUGGGUUAAACCCAAGCGCGAUGGAGCUGCUGCUUGUUUUCCAGACUCCUAAUCCCUGCUGCGUUUAAUCCCAGCUCCAUCUGAUCCCGGCUCCAUCUGAUCCCAGCUCCAUCUGAUCCCAGAUCCAUUUAAUCCUAGCUCCAUCUGAUCCCGGCUCCAUCUGAUCCCAGCUCCAUUUAAUCCUAGCUCCAUCUGAUCCCAGCUCCAUUUAAUCCUAGCUCCAUCUGAUCCCAGCUCCAUUUAAUCCUAGCUCCAUCUGAUCCCAGCUCCAUUUAAUCCUAGCUCCAUCUGAUCCCAGCUCCAUUUAAUCCUAGCUCCAUCUGAUCCCAGCUCCAUUUAAUCCUAGCUCCAUCUGAUCCCAGCUCCAUUUAAUCCUAGCUCCAUCUGAUCCCAGCUCCAUUUAAUCCCGGCUCCAUUUGAUCCCGGCUCCAUCUGAUCCCAGAUCCAUUUAAUACUAGCUCCAUCUGAUCCCAGAUCCAUUUAAUCCCAGCUCCAUUUGAUCCCGACUCCAUCUGAUCCCAGCUCCAUCUGAUCCCAGAUCCAUUUAAUCCUAGCUCCAUCUGAUCCCGGCUCCAUCUGAUCCCAGAUCCAUUUAAUCCCGGCUCCAUUUGAUCCCGGCUCCAUUUGAUCCCAACUCCAUCUGAUCCCAGAUCCAUUUAAUCCUAGCUCCAUCUGAUCCCGGCUCCAUCUGAUCCCAGCUCCAUCUCAUCCCAGCUCCAUUUAAUCCCAGCUCCAUUUAAUCCCAGCUCCAUCUCAUCCCAGAUCCAUUUAAUCCCAUCCCAGCUCCAUUUAAUCCCAGCUCCAUCUCAUCCCAGAUCCAUUUAAUCCCAGCUCCAUCUGAUCCUGGCUCCAUUUAAUCCCAGCUCCAUCUGAUCCCAGCUCCAUCUGAUCCCAGCUCCAUUUAAUCCCGGCUCCAUUUGAUCCCGGCUCCAUUUGAUCCCGGCUCCAUUUAAUCCCGGCUCCAUUUAAUCCCGGCUCCAUCUGAUCCCGGUUCCAUCUGAUCCCUGCUGCUCACUGCCUGCCCCGUUUGGGGCGGGAUCUCCGAGGAUCCAUCCGAGAUUCAGGGAAACC